rnacentral:rRNA from 1 species
GACUCAACACGGGGAAACUCACCAGGUCCAGACAUGGUCAGGAUUGACAGAUUGAGAGCUCUUUCAUGAUUCCAUGGGUGGUGGUGCAUGGCCGUUCUUAGUUGGUGGAGUGAUUUGUCUGGUUAAUUCCGAUAACGAACGAGACCUUGACCUGCUAACUAGGCGGCGUGACGGUUCGCUGUCACGUCAAGACGCGCUCGUGGUCAAACACGGACGUGGGACGCCUUCUUAGAGGGACAAUCGGUGACUAACCGAUGGAAGUUCGAGGCAAUAACAGGUCUGUGAUGCCCUUAGAUGUUCUGGGCCGCACGCGCGCUACACUGAUCAAGUCAGCGAGUAUCCCAUUGGCGGCCGCACCGCGUGUGUGGCCGUUGAUCCUUGACCGAUAGGUCUGGGUAAUCUUUUGAAACUUGAUCGUGCUGGGGAUUGACCAUUGCAAUUAUUGGUCAUGAACGAGGAAUUCCUAGUAAGCGCAAGUCAUCAGCUUGCGUUGAUUACGUCCCUGCCCUUUGUACACACCGCCCGUCGCUACUACCGAUUGAAUGGCUCAGUGAGGCGUCCGGACUGGCCCAGAGAGGAGGGAAACCACCACUCAGGGCCGGAAAGUUCUCCAAACUCGGUCAUUUAGAGGAAGUAAAAGUCGUAACAAGGUUU